CGUAAACACGAUAAUUUGUGUACGGACGUUACCAUUGAUCGUAUAUACUUACAGUAUUUCGUAUUUUCGAUCGGCAUAGGGCAAUGGAUAUUAUGAAUCGUGCGUACACGAAUAAUCGUACGUGAGACAAUGGAUGAAGUAUUAAAUAUUCGGUUGGUAAUGCUAUAAUAUUUACGUCUUAUCGCAGUUUUGGCGAAAAAAUUAUUUUGUAUGUUAUCAUACCCGAUAGGCGUUGUAGUAAUGACUUUUAUUUCUUUAUUACCUAUCCAUGCGAUUUGAUUAUGAACAUCAUAGACAA